AAAUGGGUUUAGCUGAUGAAGAUAAUUGGGUGCUAAGAAGAAUUGAAAAUAUCUUCAAACAUCUGUCUCUUGAAGUGGAAGUCCUUAAGAAAAACAAGAAGAAAAACACUGAAAUAAACCUGCCUUUCCAUAAAUGCAUUUAGGAGUUGUAGAGCUCUUCAACCUUUUUUUUUCCCCACAUGUUCCACUUUGUCUGAAGCUCCAUGUAUUCUCUAUGGAUGGACUAAGAAGAAAGCUUGAGCAAAACUCUGUCAGCUCUUGGAAACAGCACAAAUCAUGGCUGUGUCAUUAUUUCAUAAACUGAAGUAGCUAAUGCAGAGUGCUACCUUUUAUAAGAAGUCUCUUAUCCUGCUGACUGCAUCUCUCAUUAUACUCUCAUUAUUAUAUUCUCAUUAUGAAUCUUAUUUCUCCUUAAUAAACCAUUGAUGGACAGUUGAAAAUAGCGAGUA
rnacentral:lncRNA from 1 species